GCGGGGCCAGUUAGCUUAGCCUGUUAGCUCGUUGUCGCGGCUACUGGCCAGGUCCUCCCUGCUUCGCUGCUGCUGCUCGACCACGGCCUGCCGACACCGCGCUUGGGCGUAAUGAAGGGCGGGAUAGUGAAAAAGGAGCGCGUGGAAAGCCAGCAAGACGAGGAGGAAGAUGUGUACGAGGUGGAGAGGAUCAUUGAAAUGCGUGUGGAGGAGGGUGAGGUGCUCUACAGGGUGCGCUGGAAAGGUUACUGCUCCGAUGACGACACCUGGGAGCCUGAGGCCCACCUGGAGGACUGCCGUAAGGUCUUGUUAGCGUUUAAGAAGGCCACCACGGACGGCAAAAAAGAAGCAGAGGCCAAGAAGGUUGUGCAGAAAGCGCUUCCUACAAAGAGCGACUUGUUUGAGGCCGACUCAGAGAGCGACAGCGACAAAGAUCGUCUGAGCGAGGCUCCCGUCAAGAAGAAGAAGAAAAAGAAGGUACGGGAAGAAGAGGAAGAGCUGCAGCCCCGUAAGGAGAAGAAGAAAGACAAGUGGAGGGAUGAGUUCAAGACCGUGUCGGCGCCGGAGACCGAUGAGGAGGAGACUGUGCCGCCCUCCUCUCCCGAGUCUAAGGAGAAACAAGCGAAGCAAAAAAAGCAUCUGAUUGACUCGGAUGACGAGGAGGAGGAGCUGGCUCCACCCAAGAAAGACAAGACGAAAGAUGGAGGCAAGCACAGGAAGGACCGAGGGGAGAAGGGGAAGAAGAAGAAAGCCAAGAAGGAGCGCAAGAUCGAGUCUUCUGAACACGAGGGCCCUGCCGGCCUCCUCGAGGACGACCGAAGCGAAGGCCUCUCCGACGCCCAACUGGAUGAGACGUCCGCCAAGCCCCCGGAGAAGACGCGCAUGGAGGACAAGGCCAAACACAAGAAGGGCAAGUUGGAUGUGAAGCUACAGGGUAUCAAGGAGCUCAUCCUGGACAGGAAGAGCAAGAAAGGCGACUUCUCGCUCAAAGAGAGCAGCCUCCACAAACUGAAGAGCCUCACGUCCAGAGGCAGGGAGGAGGCGGCGCCACACUCGUCCGACUCCAGCGACAGCUCCAGCCUGCACAAGAAGGCCAAGAGCAAAAGUCAGGAAGUGGUCUCCAAGCCCAGCCAGAGUUACAGCUUCAGCCUGGACAGCGACGAGAGGGAAGCACAGAAGUCGGCAACCAAGCCCAGGCCCGGGGACGAUUCCCGGGAGAGGCUGGAAGAGAGCCAGCGGCUGAGCUGGGAGAGGAAGGGGCCGGCUGACGACCGGAAGAAGCGGCGGGAAGACGGCGAGCCCAAACUCCAUGGGGCAAGUGAUAGCCACAUAAGCAGCCAGGACCCGCUGGAGACCACAGACAAAUCUGACAGAGGUCCAGCAGCCUUGAGCCUGGGAAUGGAUCUCAACCUGGACUGGAUGACCCUCGACGACUUUCAGAAACAUCUGAAUGGAGAAGACGAGAUCCUUUCUGCGCCUCUACUGUCGCCCAGCGAGGUGUGGGAUGCUGUGAAAAGUGGAGAUUACACGGCUGUAAAAUUGGCACUCAAUUCCAAAGAGCAGUACAAUUUGGACCUAGAGACAAAGGAUGCAGAAGCUGGGGUCGUCGCUGAAGAAGUUUCCUCCCCUGCUGUCCAGGAUGACACACAGAUGGGAGAACCUUCACACUCACAGAACCCUCACCAACGGAUUGAAACAGAUUGCCAAGAUGAUGCGCCAAGACUGAGGCGCACAAAAAGUAUUAUAAGAAAAGGCAGAUGUCCUGAAGACGCUGAUGACCUUUAUGAAACUACAUCAGUGAGCGAUUUGUCAGUCAGUGCUGAUGAGUAUGUUUCACAUACCACCUUUGAAAGUGAAGACAGUGAAGAUAGCCUGACAAUAAGGUCAAAAAAGCCUUUUCGUCAUGAAUUCUUGGAUGAUCCUGGCUCAAUAAGUCCUCCAGCCUGUGACAGCACAACAGUAGACCACAUGGACUUGGACAUAAACAGCACUGGAACAGAGGAACCCUGCUCAAGUCAGGAAACAAUUGACGCCGUAUUUGUUUGUGCUCCCCUCAAAAAACAUGGAAAUAGAGUUUACAGCAAAAGACAUUAUUGCUUGUAUUGCAGUAAGCCUUAUGCCAAGAUGGCAAGGCAUCUAGAAAGUGUUCACAAAAACACAUUGGAAGUAGCCAAAGCUCUUAGCUUCCCAAAGAGUUCCAUGGAGAGAAGGAAACAGCUCGAGUAUAUUCGUAAUAAAGGCAACUAUGCUCACAAUGCUGCUAUUAUGGAGUCAGGAAAGGGUGAACUAGUGCCAUUCAAACGACCACAUAAAGAAACUAAAGGAAAUGACUUUAUGCACUGUGCAUAUUGCCAAGGACUGUUUACUAGAAAGGUACUGUGGAGACACAUGCGAAGUUGUCGCUUCAAACCUGCAUCAGUCACCCAAAAACCAGGAAAGAACCGUGUCCAGUCCAUGUGCACAUAUACUGGGCCUGUGCCUUCAAGUAUAUCCAAACAACUGUGGGGAGUAAUAAGUGCCAUGAUUCCUGAUCCAAUCACAGAAAUAAUAAAAGAUGACCUUGUCAUCACAGAUGUUGGGCAUCACCUGUUGAACAAACGUGGUAUGUCAGAAAAAAAUCAACACUUUGUCAGAGAGAAGAUGCGGGAAUUAGGACGACUGGUUCAUAAUGCCAGAAAAGUAACUACCUUGAAAAAAAUGGAGGAUUUUGUGAAUCCUAAGAACUACUUGGAGAUGGUCAAAGCUGUCAAAUGUACUUGUGGCUUUGAUAGUGACACCAACAAAUUCUGCAUUCCAUCCCUGGCAACUAAACUUGGGAAUUCCCUGGUCAAAGUCAGCAAACUCUUGAAAGCACAAGGUUUGAUCAUGAACAAUGAAGAGCUGGUCAGGAAUGCCACUCAGUUUCAAGAAGUCCACAGUGAGAAGUGGAACGAGUUGGUCUCUGUAACAGCCCUGAGGAACAUAGCUGAAGGAAAGUGGAAUGCACCACUACUUAUGUCCUUCACUGAGGAUGUUCAAAAACUGCAUCAGUUUCUCACUCAAAUGCAUGAUGAGUGCAGCAGUGCGCUAUCUGAAAGUUCUUCCACAAAGGCCUGGUCGGACCUGACCAAAGUAUGUUUGACACAGAUCAUCCUCUUUAACAGACCAAGAGAAGGAGAGGUAGCAGCCACGCCCUUGCUGGCUUUUUUGUCAAGAGACACAGCUGAUCCUCAUGAAGAUUUGGACUGGGCUCUCUCUGAAGUGGAAAAAAAACUCUGCAGCCUUUUUACAAGGAUUGUCAUCAGGGGAAAACGAGGCAGACCUGUUCCUAUUCUCUUGACUCCAAAAAUGGUGUGUGCAUUAGAACUUCUCGUUAAGUGCAGAGAAACUUGCGGGGUUCUCAGAGACAACACUUACCUUUUUGCAAGACCCGCAGCGAUGACGCAUUUCCGUGGUUCAGACUGCAUACGACACUAUGCAAAAGCAUGUCAUGCAACGUGUCCUGUGUCACUUACAUCCACCAAACUACGAACACAUGCUGCCACCCUUUCAACUGUGCUGAACAUGACAGACACAGAGAUGGACCAGCUGGCCAACUUUCUUGGCCAUGAUAUUAGAAUCCAUCGCGAGUUCUCUAGACUCCCUGAAAAGACACUGCAGCUGGCAAAAAUCAGCAAAGUUUUGAUGGCACUCGAGCAAGGUCGACUAUCAGAGUUCCAUGGCAAGAACUUAGAUGAAAUCUCAAUUGGUCCAAAUGAAAGUGUUGUGGAAACUGAAGAGGAAGAUCUUACCAGAGAGGACGAAAGCUGUUCAUUUCUUGAUAAUGAAGAGGGGGUCUUUCCAACCACUGAGGAGGAAGCAAUCCCACCCCCCAAGAGACUGAAACUACUUUCAAAAGAAGAGGAGGUAUCCUCAGGAGAUGGUGCAGUGAGACAUUCUGCCAAAGCAGGAGGUAAUAAAGGAAGAUCUCCAUCGAGACAGAGAGACUGUUAAAACUGAAGAAAGAUAAGGAAGACUUCUAUAAACAAGUUAUGGAUGCUUUUGAUCAGAAGGAGCUGCACAUGGACUUCAUUUAUAAGUAAAGGUCUUGCUGCCCAGAAAAGGUGACCCUGGACAGAGAAAGAGGUGAAGGCUGUGGAGAAGCACAUGAAGCCAUUCAUCACUUCUGCUAUUGUAGCAGCAAAGAGGGACUGUUUGAAAUGUUUUAGGGCCCAACCGGAAGCUCUCCGAAACUGGGAAUGGCAAGCAUAGAAGUUCUAUGUGUACAAACGCAUUCUGGCCUACAAAAGGAGAUUGCAGGUAAAAUAUUAGAUUAAGAGAUAAUCAGCAAGACUGGUUAAGUAGAACAGUUUAUGUUCUAUAUGUAUCAGGAAAACACUGCAUCAGAGGUUCCAGAAGAGUUCAAUGCAUGUUUCAUGGAUAUUCUGUUAACAUUCUCAGGAACUUUCAUAGUAAACAUGCGAAGACUCCUGUUUCCUUCUGAAGCUGAGUGUAUAAAAGUGACACACAGAGCAGGUCUCUGCAGCUAACAACCUGAUGCUAUUACAAUGUUGUUCAUAUUGCAUGUUAAAUUAAGUUUAAAUUAGUUUGUAUUUUAUUUCUGUGUUUAAGGUAAGCUAAAAUAAUCCUAUAUUGAUCCCACAACAGGGAUUUUUGGGUUACUUUGUAUACGUAAAUAUUGGUAAAAGAGAAAAUGAAUUUUCUUGAAAAGUGAAACAUGUUAUCCUGGCUUUAAUAGUUCUGUCAUUCUGCAUGGUAUACAUCCCUAGUUCAAACUAAUAUAAUUUUCCAAAAACAAAAAUCGGGUUUAGUGUUCCUUAGGAUGACAUUUUCAUACAGCAUGAUUAUAAAACAUUAUUACCUUAAAGUAUGAUUCACAUUCAGAAUGGUCCAUCCUUCUAUGAAUGGUAGUUGGAGUUGCAGACAACUUCAUGACUGCUAAACAGCAGUUUUCAGUCAUGUCACAGAAGAUGCAGGAUUUGCUUUAACAUUUAAGUGGUGAAACUUGCUAUGAGAAGACAGCUGUAGUGCUGGAUUCUGAGCAUCAUCUCAUAUUGCAUCUGUACUUUUUGUUUUGUUUUAAAUGGUCUUCAGUAGUCACAUACACAUCCGUGUGAAUUAUGCUAUAUUAUUUAAAUGUGGUCCCCAUGAACUAUAUAAACUAUUUUUCCCCAGGGUCCCCAGUAAGAAUGUUUAGCACAUGACUUAAUCAAUCUAGAGAUUUAAAGAGGUGUAUGAGCUAACUGGCCAGUGGACAUUUGACCUCAUUGUUUUUAUGCCUCCACAAGCUGUAGAAAGGCUGGUCCCCACAAGUACUGAACAAACACUUGGUCCCCACAAGUACUGAACAAACACUUGGUCCCCACAAGUACUGAACAAACACUUGGUCCCCACAAGUACCGAACAAACACUUAGUACUGAACGAACACUUGGUCCCUGUUCCAAAUGAUAACCUGUGUGUGUGUGUGUGUGUGUGUGUGUGUGUGUGUGUGUGUGUGUGUGUGUGUGUGUGUGUGUGUGUGUGUGUGUGUGUGUGUGUGUGUGUGUGUGUGUGUGUGUGUGUGACAAAGAGUGUGAGAGAGAGACACAGAAGGUUCUGUCAGGAAGUGGGAGCAGCGUCACCAAACUCCCUCAAUGACCUCAGGAUCAUUUUGGUGUUUGAGCCUUUUUACUAUCUAUUUUAAUUGUACUUUUCUUCAUUUAAUCUCUUAUUCCUUCUUCUUUGUUGAAAGGAAGUCUUUGUUUUGUGGAGUGGAUUGUGUAUCUUCUGUCAGUCCUUCAUCUUGACCAUUGCAUGCGCUUUUGCUUCCUUUAUUGACUAAAUAAAGUCUCAUUGUUUGCACUUCGCACCAAUA